CGGGGGAGCGUUCGCGCUUCCGCCGGCGACCGGCGCACGGGUGAGUAACACGUAUGGAACCUGCCCGCAGCAGGGGGAUAAUCGGGGGAAACCCCGUCUAAUACCGCGUAACGACCCGGAGGGGCAUCCCUUCGGGUCCAAAGGUUUACCGGCUGCGGAUGGCCAUGCGUCGCAUUAGCUGGUUGGCGGGGUAACGGCCCACCAAGGCGACGAUGCGUAGGGGUUCUGAGAGGAAGGUCCCCCACACUGGUACUGAGACACGGACCAGACUCCUACGGAAGGCAGCAG
rnacentral:rRNA from 1 species